CACACGACUCUCGGCAACGGAUAUCUAGGCUCUCGCAUCGAUGAAGAACGUAGCAAACUGCGAUACUUGGUGUGAAUUGCAGAAUCCCGUGAACCAUCGAGUCUUUGAACGCAAGUUGCGCCCGAAGCCGUUAGGCCGAGGGCACGUCUGCCUGGGCGUCACGC
rnacentral:rRNA from 7 species